UCCGUAGGUGGAUAAUUAAGUCAGAGGUGAAAUCCUGCAGCUCAACUGUAGAAUUGCCUUUGAUACUGGUUAUCUUGAAUUAUUGUGAAGUAGUUAGAAUAUGUAGUGUAGCGGUGAAAUGCAUAGAUAUUACAUAGAAUACCAAUUGCGAAGGCAGAUUACUAAUAAUGAACUGACACUGAUGGACGAAAGCGUGGGGAGCGAACAGGAUUAGAUACCCUGGUAGUCC
rnacentral:rRNA from 1 species